CGAGCACGGUGCCGCGGGCGCCGGCCGCAGCACCGAGCGCAGCCAUAGCCCCAGAGUCGGCUGCAGCAUCAGUACCGGCUCGGUCGGAACUGGCUGAGACGGCCUCCCGUAAAGAGACUGCUGUAAAAACUGCCACACAGCCAGCUGUAGUCUGUGCUGUUUGUUCUGGCUCUAGCGAACUUAGCCAAAGUGCCCCUCCUCCCCGCACAUUUCUGUUCACUCCCAGCACCUCAAAGUUGCCUUUGCCUGAUGAUUCCUCGUCAGGCAGUGAGGCAGAUGAGGUUCUGGCCCCAGGUCGUAAGGCGGCUGUGGCCGCAUGGCGAAGGAAAAGGCUGCGCCGGUCUCGCCCCUGGACCUUUCAGGACUGCACGAUACUGGGAUACGGUGGCUACCUUCAAAAUGCGUUCGCCCUGACCUACGGCACCAGAGGCAGAACAGGCAACCUCCAAAUGAUGACCAGAACGCCAACCAUCCAAAUGGCGACCAGAAUGUAGAUCAUCAGCCUAAUGACUCUUCUGAUGAUGACCAGGAUGUCAACCAUCAGGCAGAUGGUCCUUCUACAAGCAGAGACUGGGAUGGUCCUUCCACAAGCAGAGACUGAAUUUUGAAUUUCUUGUUAUGGAGUCAGAUAGUUAAAGCCUUAAGGACAUUUUUAGAAUUAAUAACUGAUGUAGAUUUCUAUUUAGGAUUAAUAGUAGGGUUGUUAUCUUAUAAAACAAAAAGGGGGAAUUGUAGGUACAAAAAUGCUGUUAGUGAGGAUCUUCUUGUUAUUUUUCUAAGUCCGUGAGAGACUUUUCUCUCUCACAGAAGAGGUAGCAGGGAAUGUAAACAACCAAGCCACCUGCAACCUUGGAAAGUCUUGUUUAUGGUAUAGUAGAAAAUAUUUUGAUAAUGGAUGUUUUAGGAUUUUGGCCAAUCACCCCCAAGGGGUGGCUGGUCCUUUGUCCAAUUAGACUAUGAAGAAAAAAGUCUAUAAAAGAGUUUGUAAAAUAAUUAAAUAGAUCAAUCUUGCUGCACAAUUCCUGCCUGCUGGAUCUUCUCCUCCUCCUCCUCCCUAUGGCUGCGGGACACGGUGAUAUACCGUAGGAACCAGGCCUGCGGUAAUACUAGGAAGGUACAGCCUUCCCAAACCACCUACCUCAUAUUCCCCCCAUAAACAUAUCGUUUUCCCCCAAAGUUCAGAAACUCAACCUUGUGCCAACCCAUUUGUCUGUUUCAGGAGUCAAACUGUCUGGGUUCUGUAACAAACCUGUGGCUUGAAGUUGGUAGAGACAUUAAGACCCAUUGUUUGUAAAGACAUUAGCACACAUCUUUCCUAUCAAAUCCAUUUGAUGAUAACUUUUGAGGACAUGCAUUCUACAUCACAUCAAUGUAGAAAUACCUGUUAG
rnacentral:lncRNA from 13 species